rnacentral:rRNA from 1 species
CCUACGGGUGGCUGCAGUGGGGAAUAUUGCACAAUGGGGGAAACCCUGAUGCAGCGACGCCGCGUGAAGGAAGAAGGUCUUCGGAUCGUAAACUUCUAUCAGCAGGGAAGAAGGAAGUGACGGUACCUGACUAAGAAGCCCCGGCUAACUACGUGCCAGCAGCCGCGGUAAUACGUAGGGGGCAAGCGUUAUCCGGAAUCACUGGGUGUAAAGGGUGCGUAGGCGGCCCUUCAAGUCAGAGGUGAAGGGCUACGGCUCAACCGUAGUAAGCCUUUGAAACUGUCUUACUAGAGUGCAGGAGAGGAAAGCGGAAUUCCUAGUGUAGCGGUGAAAUGCGUAGAUAUUAGGAAGAACACCAGUGGCGAAGGCGGCUUUCUGGACUGUAACUGACGCUGAGGCACGAAAGCGUGGGGAGCGAACAGGAUUAGAUACCCCAGUAGUC